rnacentral:rRNA from 1 species
CCUACGGGAGGCAGCAGUAGGGAAUAUUGCUCAAUGGGGGAAACCCUGAAGCAGCAACGCCGCGUGGAGGAUGAAGGUUUUAGGAUUGUAAACUCCUUUUGUGAGAGAAGAUAAUGACGGUAUCUCACGAAUAAGCACCGGCUAACUCCGUGCCAGCAGCCGCGGUAAUACGGAGGGUGCAAGCGUUAGUCGGAAUCACUGGGCGUAAAGAGUGCGCAGGCGGGCUUGUAAGUCAGAAGUGAAAUCCUGUAGCUUAACUACAGAACUGCAUUGGAAACUAUGAGGCUAGAGUGUGGGAGAGGUAGGUGGAAUUCUUGGUGUAGGGGUAAAAUGCGUAGAUAUCAAGAGGAAUACUCAUUGCGAAGGCGACCUACUGGAACAUUACUGACGCUCAUGCACGAAGGCGUGGGGAGCAAACAGGAUUAGAUACCCUUGUAGUC